GUCUUUUCCGUGCUGUUCUCAUUAUAGUGAAUAAGUCUUGGGAGAUCUGAUGAUUUUAAAAAGAGGAGUUUCCCUUCACAAGCUCUCUUCUCUUGUCUGCCACCAUGUGAGACAUACCUUUCACUUUCUGCCAUGAUUGUGAGGCCUCCUCAGCCAUGUGGAACGGGAUUUAGGUGGGCAGCAGCACUUGGUUAUUUACAAGUUCAGGAUCCUGUUUAUAAAGCAAGGAAAGAUUGCUAUCUGUCUCCAGCACUAUGGCGAGAUAAUUAAUAGGAGCACUGCUGGAGACUGAUAGUGCAGGCGGCCGAUACCCAUGGCAGGAGCUCUCGUCAUCUAACUGCCACAGAAUUGUGAAGGUAAAGAAUCUGCAGAAAAGUGGAACAUUCAUUUUUACUAAAUAAAUGCAUUAUCUAUAGCACACAUUAUAGAGUUUUGUUGUUGUUGUUGUUAAUCUAACAUGUAACAGAAAUAAAAGAGAUUGUUUCUAAACCACUUUAAACUGUUCUGGCAACUACCUUAGACCCUUCUGGCGAAGCAUCUCUAAAGAAGACCAUUGACAGCCACUAUCAGUAGCAGCAGCAGUGGGCAUGUGUCCUCGCUUGCCACCCCACAAAAAAGCAAACAAACAAAAAUCAUUCCCAGAUGAAAACUACGAAGUUGUAAACUAUAAAAGGGAAGAUUAAACAUUGUCUGUGUGUUCUCUAACAUCCAUUUGAUUUAUAGUUUUUUUUUUUUUCCUUUUUUGACAGAAGUUGGUCUUAUCCCAUUUUCUCAGCAUAAAAAUAACAAUUCUCUUAUAAGGCAGUUUUACGCAGCAUUAACAGAGCAAAGAGUAAACUUUGUUUGCUUUAAUAAUACUAAAUUGUAACAUCAUAUUUUCUAUUUGCAAAUGUUUGUCCAUCUACUGGAUGUAUAAAUCUUCGUAGUGACAAAAGUAUGUUUGAUUUAUUUAUAAUGGUCAAUGGAAGGGCUAUGAAAUUGUGUAUUAAGCUACUAUGAGAAAAGCGGCAUGGCUCAAAUAAUCAUCUUUAUAUUCAGCAUGCUUCAGGCAAUCACUAAUUUUUGAGAAAUCUAUUGUUCUCUAGUUUUUCCCAAGUACUCAUUUCCAACCUCAUUCCAUCAGGUAUUCUCUGAGGAGUCUUAUCCCUAUGACUUGCUCAAAGCAGAUAUUGUCUAUUUUUUUUGUCUAUUAAGAAAAUAACAAAAUUUUAAAACCAAAUAAGAUCUUGGCUAAGAUACCAUAUGAAAGGUGAAUACACACAGACCCAAACAAGUCCAAAAGAUUGCCUGUCAUAAAGUUAAAACUGGAAUCAGAACUGGCAACCUGGACUUCUGACUUGUGAUUCAGGAUAUAUUUCAC
rnacentral:lncRNA from 10 species